rnacentral:rRNA from 1 species
AUGUAUCAAAGGGGUUUUAGCCCCAAGUGGAUGGAGAGAGUUAAGUCCAUUUUAUACAAAGGUUCAGUGGGAGUUAGGAUUAAUGACUGCAACAGUGAUUUUUUUGAGACCUUUAAAGGGGUGAGACAAGGUGAUCCUGCCUCCCCCAUGCUUUUCAACUUGGUGGCUGAUAUUUUUAGUAGAAUGCUUAAUAAAGCAACUAGGAAUAACUUACUAACAGGGUUUAUGACUAAUGUCUUCCCUCAAGGGGUGACAAGUCUGCAAUAUGCAGAUGAUACCCUCCUUUUUCUUGAUAACAACCUGAUCUCAGCCAAAAACCUGAAAUGGCUUCUUUCUUGUUUUGAGCAUAUGUCUGGGCUUAGAAUUCAUUUCCACAAAUGUGAUUUGAUUCCUAUCCAUGUCCAAAAGGAUGAUGCUCAUAAGGUAGCUCAAGCCUUGUCAUGUGGAUUAGGAUAUUUCUCUUUAAAAUACCUGGGUUUCCCUCUUCAUUACACCAAGCUCAGGAGAGAAGAUAUAUAG